rnacentral:rRNA from 1 species
UUCGCAAUGCCCGAAAGGGUGACGAAGCGACGCCGCGUGGGUGAGGAAGGCCCUCGGGUUGUAAAGCCCUGUCAGGAGUUAAGAAAUGUAGAUACGCUAAUAUCGUAUCUAUUUGACAAAGGCUCCAAAGGAAGCCACGGCUAACUCUGUGCCAGCAGCCGCGGUAAUACAGAGGUGGCAAGCGUUGUUCGGAAUUAUUGGGCGUAAAGAGCACGUAGGUGGAUUUGUAAGUCAGAUGUGAAAGCCUUCUGUUCAACGGAAGAAUUGCAUCUGAGACUACAAACCUUGAGUAUAGGAGGGGAGAAUGGAACUUCUGGUGGAGCGGUGAAAUGCGUAGAUAUCAGAAGGAACGUCGGCGGCGAAAGCGACUCUCUGGCCUAUUACUGACACUGAGUGUGCGAAAGUUAGGGGAGCAAAUGGGAUUAGAUACCCCGGUAGUCCUAACUGUAAACGAUGGGCACUAAGUAGAGGGGUUUU